rnacentral:rRNA from 1 species
UGGAGCAUGUGGUUUAAUUCGAUGCAACGCGAAGAACCUUACCUGGGCUUGACAUCCCGAGAAUCUUCUGGAAACAGGAGAGUGCCCUUCGGGGAACUCGGUGACAGGUGCUGCAUGGCUGUCGUCAGCUCAUGCCGUGAGGUGUUAGGUUAAGUCCUGCAACGAGCGCAACCCUCGUCGCUAGUUGUUUUCUCUAGCGAUACUGCCCGUAUAACGUGGAGGAAGGUGGGGAUGACGUCAAGUCAGCAUGGCCCUUACAUCCUGGGCUACACACACGCUACAAUGGGUGAUACAACAGGUUGCAAUAGAGUAAUCUGGAGCCAAUCCCUAAAAUCAUCCUCAGUACGGAUUGCAGGCUGCAACUGCCUGCAUGAAGUUGGAGUUGCUAGUAAACGCAGGUCAGCACACUGCGUUGAAUACGUUCUCGGGCCUU